CUCGAACGGUCCUGCUAGUGAAAGUAGCAAGGAUAACAAGACAGCUUUGGAUUGAGAGGGAUACAACUACCUGAAAAAUACAAGUAGAACUUCGAUGCUGUUUUCCUUUGUAUCCUUCUCUAUCCACAGCUUUGUCAUUAAAGCUUAAGCCUGUUUUCCACUUCACCAUAUCGUAACGUACUCAAGAGCAUUUUUUUUUGUUGAACUCAUUACAUACUCAAAAAAACGAAACUAUACAGUUAUACGUUUCGGUACCAUAUACAAUUUAGGUGAAAAACAUGUUUUAUUUUUUAAAUAUUGAAAGGGACAUUUUAACCCGACUUAGUUGGAUGCGCAGUAUAGCGACGUCAAACUGAUUUAUCGGAAUUUAGUAAACAAUAUUGCAAUAUCUUGUUGCUUUGCCAACGCGAAGUUUAAAGAAGCUUUCAAGAAUGGGAUAAACAUCUGGAUUUGACUUAAAAACAUUGUACUGUAAAACAACACAAGAAGUAUUAUGACCAUCUCGAAAGGGUGUCAGUGAUUUACUUGGACAAAAAGACUGCAGUAUUAUCAUCGUUGAAAGUAUACGUCGGCUUUUACGAACCGAACCGUUGCUGUAUUUGUUAGCAUUUCAUCACUUAUGAUAAUAAUGCGUGGUAUAUAUAUAUAUUUGUUGGUGAUUCAACUGGAUUCGAAAAUUUCUGGUCAUAAUGUGACUAAUCGAUAUACGGGAUUAAUGGUAACGGUGUCUUCCACAAGCAUGUUGCAGUUCGUUUAUGUUGAAAUAUCGAUGAUUAGUGUGGACUACCAUCAAUGAACAUGGUUAUUUGAAUUCGUCGUGCUGCAACGUCAAAGGAAAUUAAUGAACACGUCAAAAGAUCGUGAUUCGUUUAGAUUGUGUAGUGUUUAUAUUGUUGAAAAUCUACGCCUCUACGAACAAUCCCUCUAUCGUGCCAUUAUACAGCGGUUGAAUGACUUUUAACUGAUGGAUUUCAAACUCUUGAUCAUGUAGAAUGUGACUGAUAGACAGGAAUAAUGCCAAAGCAACUUCUGACAAGCUAAUGUCAGUUGGUAUAUUUGGAAAAGUCGAUAAUUUGUGAAAGACAAAUAUGCAGUAUAACUUGAAAACAUUAUAUUGGAAAGCUGAAAGUAAUGUCAUCACCAUCUCGAAAGACCGUAGCCGUUCACGUGGACAAAAAUUGUACAUUGUUCUCAUUGCUGAAAAUAUACGUGUUUACGUACUGUCCUUGUAUCCCACGCUCGGAUGUACUACUUGUGAUGUGUGAAUACAUAUCUAUAAGUGUCCAGCAUAAUGCGUGAUAUAUUUGUUGAAAAUAUAUGCAUGCAUGUGGAUUUAUGAUUCCAGAUCACAAUGUGCCACAUGUAUGAGGAAUGGUUAUUUUAACUUUCAACAAGCUAUGGUAUAUUGCUAUACCCUGAUAAUCGUGCUGAUUUGUUGAACACAAGGAAUGCACAAUAUAUUUAUUAAGGUGAACUGAUUCUUAUGGAAGAAUUAAAAUCAAUGCGAAGUUUGAGAAUGGUAGUAAUGAAAUUGACAAAUGGUGGGUUGUCCAACUACUAGAAACUAAAUUUCGGAAUUAUGGUAAAAAUGUGCAACGAUUUGAAGGAACAUUCGUACUGAAAAACAAAAUUGAGAAAAUCCAAAGAACCAGUUGAAUCACGUGUAAAAGGAAAGUUUUAAUUAUUCUAGACUAUGCGUGGUGUUAGUUACGAUGUUGUGGACUUGUUUGGUCCUACUUGGUGAUCAUGAGACUAAGGAUGUGGCGUUCCUUCAUAUGCAGUAGUAAACGGUAUUCGUCAUCUGGUCAAGACGUAGAACAUAGCGCUUGUGAUUAGGUCGUGUUGGUAUUUUUCUGCCAGUAAAUUAACAAAACGGACGUGUUGGAGAACAAAGAAAACUGAACAAUUUUUUAUCUUUAGAUACUUUGAAUUAGUUCUAAUAUAAUUAUAUUGUUUGUAGAUUAAAAUAGUUAUUGUUGUAUAGUUUCUUCAAGAAUGAAUAAUA